UCUGUAUUUGUCAAUGAUUCGGCACUCCUUCGGUUUUGUUAUCCAUUUUUAGACAGUAAUGAGAUCAUCUGCACACUCCACAGAGCUCCAGAGUUACUGUUCAUAGCAAAAGUGUAAUGCUGUCCUUGGAGAUUUUCACCUAAGACUUGAACAGAGUGCCGAUUAUUAUCGACAGCUACGUCCACCCGGGGUGAAAGUAGUGUGGGAGACCAUCAGGACCCAGCUGGGUUUCCUUGGUCCAGAGGUUUGGAGAAACCUCUUCCUUUUCUUUCAUCACAGCUGUCCUGUGCCAGAUGUUCUGUUGACCCACUGAGAGAGGCGUGUUUGAGAAAGAUCAGGAAGACUGAAGCUCAUGGUAGGAAUGAAGGAGGACCUUGUGAGCUCCACCAGCAGCUCCCUCACAAGGAACUGUUCACAAGUCCACUGCAGGCACGCCCCAGAAGAUGGAUAAAGGCAGCGUUUCAUGAAGACACUGGAACCAAUCUAUCUUCAUAACAGCAGGAUAAAGACAUGGUGAUAAAUGAGUGUGUGGGCCGUCUGCUGAGGACCAGGAGCUCAGGACACUCAGACGGGG